rnacentral:rRNA from 1 species
GACGAACGCUGGCGGCGUGCUUAACACAUGCAAGUCGAACGGUAAGGCUCUUCCGGGGGUACACGAGUGGCGAACGAGUGAGUAACUCGCGGGUGAUCUGCCCGGCUCUUUGGGAUAGGCAUGGGAAACUGGGGCGAAUACAGGAUAGGACUACGCGAUGCAUGUCGUGUGGUGGAAAGCUUUUGCGGUUUGGGAUGGGCGCUCGGCCUAUCAGCUAGUUGGUGGGGUGAUGGCCUACCGAGGCGACGACCGGUAGCCGGACUGGGAGGGUGUCCAGCCACACUGGGACUGGGCUACGACCCAGAGUCCUACGGGGGACAGCAGUGGGAAAUAUUGCACAAUGAGCGCAAGCCUGAGGCAGCGGCGCCGCGUGGGGAAUGACGGCCUUCGGGUUGUAAACCGCUUUCAGCACAAACGAAGCGUAAGUGACGGUAGGUGGAGAAGAAGCACCGGCUAACUACGUG